GACGUAGGGCGCGAGCGUUGUCCGGAUUUAUUGGGCGUAAAGAGCUCGUAGGCGGCUUGUCGCGUCGACUGUGAAAACCUGGGGCUUAACUCUGGGCUUGCGGUCGAUACGGGCAUCACUGGAGUUCGGCAGGGGAGACUGGAAUUCCUGGUGUAGCGGUGAAAUGUGCAGGAUAAUCAGGAGGAACACCGGUGGCGAAGGCGG
rnacentral:rRNA from 1 species